UACGGGGGGGGCAAGCGUUGUUCGGAAUUACUGGGCGUAAAGGGCUCGUAGGCGGCCAACUAAGUCGGGUGUGAAAUCCCCAGGCUUAACCUGGGAACUGCAUCCGAUACUGGAUGGCUUGAAUCCGGGAGAGGGAUGCAGAAUUCCAGGUGUAGCGGUGAAAUGCGUAGAUAUCUGGAGGAAUACCGGUGGCGAAGGCGGCAUCCUGGACCGGCAUUGACGCUGAGUGAGCGAAAGCCAGGGGAGCAAACGGG
rnacentral:rRNA from 1 species